ACCCUUACGGCAAAUGACCCGAAAUCAAGAAAAUGGAUCCAAACUCAACUUUUCAUCUUCUCUUCUCUCUCCUUAUAAGAAAAAGACGAAAAAUAAAUAAAUUCCAACUUCCUUCAGCUUUGGAAUUUUGCCAGUUCUCUCCGAGGGAAAUAAUAAACCAUUUCCUCUAGGGUGUGGAUAGUGGGAGCAGACUCGGAGAACUUCCCAGUCAUGAUGCAGUUACACCAAGGGUUGACUCAGUCCUUUUUUUUUCUGCUCUGGUUGUGAUGGAUGUACUGACAUGGCAUAUCCAAGAUAGGGUGUCAUGGUGUAUGUUAUUCGUAGAUGACAUAAUACUGAUUGAUGAGACUCACAGUGGUGCUACACAUGAAAUUCGUGUAGAAGUGAGGUUUGACACUCAUGUCAUCCCCAAGAGAAGAUGUUUCAAGUGUAUGGGGUCUUUAAUUCAAGCUAGUGUAGAGAUCAAUGAUGACAUCACACAUCGUAUUCGUGUGGGAUAGGCGAAAUAAGAUGGCCUCCAGAGUCUUAUGUGUUUAAAAGGUACUGCCAAGACUUAAAAUUAACUGAGGAUGAUCCUGCUGAAACUAAGCUUGGUGUGCUAUUCAUUUCCUCUUCAAGACAAGCUGAAGAUCCCUCCUGUCCAGAAACCUCUACUCCAACUUCUAGCCUUUGGUUAUCUCGAGCUAAGAGACCCGGAUUCAUCUCUGCAGGUGAGAAUUGAAGUUCAUACUGGUGGCUCCAUGACUGAUAAUUGGAUAAAUUUCUUAUUUGGUGAGAGUUGAAGUCCAUACAGGUGGCUCUGUGACUGAUAAAUGGAUAAAUUUCUUAUUAGAUAUCCUAUUAUUGUCUUAGCUACCGUUUUAUUGAGGGGAAGUUUACUGACGUAACCAUGAGACUCACAGGGAAGUGAGGCUUGAUACCAGGACAUCCAAACGAGAGGAAGUAUCAAGUAUCUUGGGUCUAUUCUCUAAAGAUACGGGAAUGAUAUCACAGAUCAUAUUGUUGCCAAGUGGAUGAAAUAGAGUUCGCUUCUAAGGUCUUGUGUGAUUAAGAGAAGCUGCCACCAAAACUUAAAGUCAGGUUCUAUAGAGUUUGACCAACUUUGUUGUAUGGGGCGGAAUGUUGGACAAGGUGGAGCUAAGCUAUAUUGGUUUUCUGAAGCGGGAAUAGAAGAAAAAGUGAGCGCUUAUAUGACUGAAGCGAGAAGAGAGAAAGGAACGAAAGGCGCGUAUUAGCGAGUUCGAUUGCUGCGACGGGUUUUAUAUUAAAAUUUUUGUAAAAACAUACUCAUGGGAUUUCUCUUCCUAAACAUCUGCUUAGAGUUCGACUGCUAGGAGCCUGUGACUUCUCUUCGAGAUGACCGAGGAUGAUCCCGCUGAAACUAAGCUUGGUAUGUUAUUCUGUUCCUCUCCAAGACAAGCUGAAGAUCCCUCCGGUCCAGAAACCACUACUCCAACUUCUAGCCUUUGGUCAUCACGAGCUAAGAGACGCGUCGUCGUCUCAGAAGGAGCAUUCAUUGAGUCAGAGGCGUUAUCUUUGGCUAUUGGUGGUAGAGACGUCGAGCAUUCUGUGGUAGUUGGUGACACGAGCGGCAUUGCUCCAAGACCAAUCUCAUUAGGAGGGAUGUAUUUGUUCCUUGCAUGAAUUAGAGUAACAUCUUUACCACGGUCUCGUAUAUUUUCAAAUUCUGGUUCCUGUAGAAUGUUAUAAAGUUGCCUCUGGAGUCUUUCGACAGUUGACAAAAUGUGUUGUCUAAGCUUUGAUCUCUUUCUUUUUGGGACACAGUUAGGAUUCCAGAAAGUGUCUUUAUCUGCUUCUCCCAACAAAAGGUAAAUGUUAGUGCACAUAAAACAUUAAGGUUAAUAUACAUUAGUUUUUAUUUUUAUUUUGGUCAAGCUAGUAUUAUUUGCAAGGUUAAGGUAUAGUUGGAUGGUCAAUUCAUAUCUUUAUUGAAAAUCCAAAUCACCUGAAAUAUUUUAAUUUCACCUCAUUGUUAAAAGGAAAGUUAGUUCUCAAAUUUAGAGGAGACACUAGAAUUAAUGGCCUAUGAGCAAGAAAGAAACCAAAGAUUGUGCUUGUAGAGUAUCACGUAGUAAUUACAUCCCUAAGUUUUUUAUGGUACAGUCUUGAAUGUGAUUGACAUUGCAUAAUUUGAAAGACACAUCACAGUAAUCAGAAAAAGGCAAGAAUUUCCUGCGUAAAAAAUAAAUCCAAAUGUGGUGAAUCUUGAUACAUGCUUAUCAAGUUGCCUUAGAGCUCAUGGUGUAAGUGAUUCUUUUGAGUGUUAGAUACGAACAUAGGACAAUGGGAGAAUGAUGAUAAAAUUUUCUAUCUCACCGUUAAAUUUGUUGUGUCGGAUCUUUAGAUUCUUCCCCUUUUUGGGAAGGUUCAUCUACAAUGAUUUGGUUUCCUAAUUUCUAUCUCAUAAUUUUCUUUGACUAAGUUCUCCUUUGGUACGAGGGAUAUUGGAUAACUAAUCUUGGGAUUAAUUUUAGGAUGAGCUUAUCCCAUGUUUAGUUAGGAUAAAUCAUGGUAUGACUUAUCCCGGAAUUAGCUAUACCGUGAUUGUAGUUUUAUUUUUAUCCCACAUUGAAGGUGGGAUAACAUUCCCGGGAUCACUUGUUCCCCAACCAAACGUGCCCCAAGAGUUUUGGGCUUACGAUCAUGCAAAACAGAAGAGAAAUAUUGGCUAGAAAUUGAGUAGGAAGAUAUUUUUUUUCCAUUUUUUUAACCUGUACGCUUAAGAAAGGAUUUGAUUCAGGACAUGUAUCAUAUUUGCUGAGACAAGUUAACUGCUCACUAUAUAUGUGAAAGUAUUUUACCAUUUGUUUCUUCCAUCUGCAUGCUCUGUGUUUCCCUAUUUGCAUGUCUGGGAAUAUAGUUUUGCAGUGUCCCCCUAAUGCACCACCUUAUUCCACAAGCAUUGCAGAGCACAGGUUUUUCAGGUGGCCCAGGUCUCCAAUGGGAGGUUUCUGUUUGAGUUCAAAGUUAAUUAGUGUUUACACUAAAACACAAUGAUCAUUGACAAUAAAGAUUUUCUAUAAAAAAUGGUAGAGAAUUUAUUGCAGGAGAAUGGAAGAGUCAUGAAACUAGAGUAUGUAUAAUAUUAAAAACAAGAGGAAAUUUCCUUGUGUGAAAUAUGCAUUGACCUUAAGGAUUCUUCAACUGUUACUUUACUCACAUUUUCAUCACUAUGUUAAGGAGCCAUACCAGAAAGUUGAAGUUAGCCAUAACCAUGAACUUAUGUUGGGCAGUAAGAUCCAGUCAUUGCAUAAACCUCUCUCACAUUUUCUGAUGAAGAAUCUGUCCGAGUCUUAGCCACCACACUACAAAAGAUCCUCCCUCUUCUAUAAACUGGAUUAAGCUAUGAUCAUCUCGAUAGCUUUCACGAAGUUCAAAAGAAAACUCCUCAUUUUCUAUCCCUAAAGCCGAAAGUGCCUUGUACAUCAUCAUAUUCUCUCGAAGUGGUCCCUAUGCGACUUCUAAAAUCCCCCUCAAAUAAUUAGUUUCUCAACACGUGGGAUAACUAUCACAACCUAGUCUUACUCCUACCAGAAUAAAGAAGUUUUUUUUUACCUCCUCGUCCAAACCUGUUUGCUGCACAUAUCCCUGACCUUGGUUCCUACCUGUUUGGUUUCCUGUACAGAAGCUUUAUUGAUCUUCCUCUUUAUAAGAAUCUUCACUAACUGUAUUGAUUUCCUUGUCAAUGUCCCUAUGUUUCAAGACCCCACUCUCAACCUAGGAUCUCCCUUGGUACCCUCACCACCUCGGCCCCCCGCCCCUGCUGCAAAUCAAGUACAUGACCAUAAACUACAUCAAACCCCGAUGCCACUAACGCCAGUUAUAGAGUAAUCAAGUGUGCAAUAAACAACAAAAAAUGGGCAACCCAUAAACUUUGACAGUCACACAAUACAAUGACGAUAAUAAAUAGAAGAAAUAAACUAUAGAAAAGAUAUUGUUUUAAGCAGGAACCAAAAAAUGCAGUAAUAUUUAUAAACGCGCAGCAAUAAAUUUAAGAACGCGAUAUCAGAUUAAGGAAAUAAGUAAUCAAGCAAGCAACAAUAACGGGCUGCACAAUCUUUUAAGGAAAAAUCAUAUUUAGAAAAACGAAUCUAGGAUUUCUAGAACAUGGGUGCACCACUAAAAAAAGAAGGAAAAGAUGUAUUGAGUAGGAAGUGAUUCUAGGUCCUCUCAGUAAAUAACCAAAUAUUUAAUUAAGUGCACCAUUGAGGCUUUUUGUAGCGUGGGUGCCAACAUAUAAUAUUAUUGGGAGGAGGCUUGGAACACUUUUCAAUAAUGAUGGGGUUUGCACUAGAGAUCGACCCUUAGUCUGUUCCCUUUUGCCUUAGUGAUGGAUGAAUUGACACGAUAUAUUUAAUGAAGGGUAUUCUGUUUUUUGCCAUUCACAGAUGACAUAGUAUAGAAUAACAAGACAUGGGGUGGAGAUAACGAAAAACUGGAAAGUCUGGGACAGAUCUUACAGAAUAAAGUUUUUAGGUUAAGCAAAACUAAAACAACGUAUUUUGUGUGUAACUUCAAUAAGGUAACACUUAAGAAACACGUUGAAGUGAGGAAUGACUAGGAAACUUCAAGUAUCUUGGGUCCAUAAUUAGAGGCUUUUGAUGUCGCACAUCAUAUUGGAGUAAGGUGGGUAAAUUGAAGGCAUGCAUCCGGGGGUACUUUGCAAUAAAAAUGUGUUGUCGUAGGUAUGUUCCAUAAAGUGGUGGUUAGACCUACAUUGUUGUAUUGGUAAGGGGUUGUUCAUGCUUGCGGUGCGUGUAAAAACCCUAUGGAGUGGUGAAGAGUGGUGUUUUGGGGGGUUCAUUAUCUAGACAGUAAGGGCGAUGGUUUUCAAAAGAUUAAAUAAUUGGGAACUAAAUGUGCAUGAAUGGUAGGGAUUGGGUGCCAAAUCCACAAUUUCUCCUAAAUGACCUGAGUUCCUUUUAGACUAAUGGCAGAUGUACUGAAAAUUAAUAAACAUUUGGCUCGAGCGAUGAAAAAAGUAAUGUACUCUAUGUUUUAUUUUGUAACAGAUGCACCAUUUUAGGGAAAUUUGGGUAUUUCGUGUUUAUGCAUGUGAGUCUUCAAAAUUCAUUGGCUGAACAUCUGGUACAUAAUUCUUAAGCAUAAUUAACCUAAUCAAGUAUCCUGUAAAGCAUGAGAUUAUUGACAAAGAUAAAAGAUGGGAUGUAGGCAGUGUAUAAAACUUACUCUUGAUGCCACAAUGGAGACAUGGACCUCGUCUACCCAUAAGAUCUGAUUAUGAAUAAUUCAGUUUAAAUAAGGUUGAAUUUGCUGCUACUAACCUUUAGAGUUCGAUUUUCUCUCAAAAUCUAAAAUGUCUAGAGUGAGGUGAUGGGUCACAGUAUAUAUAGACAACUAAGAAUUUGGUAGACUAUAGCUUGUCCUUUUAUGGAAAUAGAUGAAUAUUGAUAGAUUUGUCAUUAACUUCAAUUUCUUUCCAAUAAUGAUAUUUUACAUCAAGAAAAGAACUACUGCAUUCUAUUUAUUUCCAAUAAUGUUUUUUUACAUCCAUUUCCCCUUGGACUAGUACAAUAAUCAAAUCGACCAUUUUGCCUAAAUAUAUAAUGAGUGUCUCAUUACUACUGUGCAGGUGAGAGUUGAAGUCCAUACAGGUUGCUCCGUCACUAAUUGGAUAAAUUAUGAUAUAUUUGUUAUUAAACUUCAAUUUCUUUCCAAUAAUGCUUUUUUACACCCAGAAAAGAACUACUACAUUCAAUUUAUUUCCAAUAAUGCUCUUUUACGUCCAUUUCCCCUUGCACUAGUACAACAAUCAAAUUGACCGUUUUGCCUAAAUAUUUGACGGUCACAUUAUUACUCUGCAGGUGAGAGUUGAAGUCCAUACUGGUGGCUCCCUGACUGAUAAUUGGAUAAAUUUCUCAUUUGGAACAUUCGUUGAGCAAGAGGCAUUAUCAUCUGCCAUUGGAGGUAUAGACGUGGAGCAUUCUGUAGUAAUUGGUGAUACGAGCGGCAUUGCUCCAAGACCAAUCUCAUUAGGAGGAAUGUAUUUGUUCCUUGCAUGAAUUAGAGUAACAUCUUUACCACGGUCUCGUAUAUUUUCAAAUUCUGGUUCCUGUAGAAUGUUAUAAAGUUGCCUCUGGAGUCUUUCAACAGUUGACAAAAUGUGUUGUCUAACCUUUGAUCUCUUUCUUUUUGGGACACAAUUAGGAUUCCAGAAAGUGUCUUUAUCUGCUUCUCCCAACAAAAGAUUGCCGAGGAUGAUCCUGCUGAAACUAAGCUUGGUAUGUUAUUCAGUUCCUCUCCAAGACAAGCUGAAGAUCCUUCCUGUCCAGAAACCACUACUCCAACUUCUAGC